CCGCCGUACGCUGUGCAAGUCGUCCGCCGCCACCGUCCGCACAGAGCCGAGGUAAACUGCACGGAAACAACAGCCGGAGAGAAGAGAGCUCAACGACUCGUCGCGACCGUCGCAAAACUCCGCUAAGCAAACGCGCACGGAAAACGGUACGCGACUAUAAUUGUUCGUAUUAUUAUUACUGCCUACAACCAGGUAGUUUAUUUUCGUUUACAUUUAAUCAUAUCACUAUUAUUGUUGUUGUUAUUAUUAUUAUUAUUAUUACUAUUAUUAUCGUUAGUAUUAUUAUUAUUAUUUAUAUUAGUAUCAUUAUCACUUACGGGUAUCUGCGAACCGUAUUAUCAAUUCGUUUCGCGCAAUAUAAACACAAAUAAACAUUGCACUUCGCUCUCUGGUCGAGUUUGGGGCAAACGCACCAAUAAUUCAUUUUAUAAUAUGGAACAAAUGAAUGAUUUUUUUUUAAAUUUUCGUAUUUAUCGUAAAAAAAAAAAAAAAAAAAAACGAACGAAACUCAAUUGUUCCUAAAUAUAACCAUUGUAGUAACUUAUUAAUAAAUGAGAAUUUUAAAAUAGAACUUUAUUUUUUAUACUUGUUUAAAUUUCAAAUUGUGAUGAAAAUCGUAAAAAUCACGGCAUUUCGCUUUACCUAUUAUUUUCAUGUGGAUUAAUAUAAAAAUUUGAAAAUGAAAAAAAAAAUCGAAAAUUUAUUGCAAUGUUCUAGGUAUCUUUACGUAACAGAUUAAUACAAUUUUCAAUUCAUGUUUAUUAAACCAUGUUUAACUAUAUUUCGCUCAGGAUUGUUUUACGAUGGCAUAGAUGAUUUUCUAACGUCUCAUACGAACAUGAACUAAACUACGUUUUCUAUAAUAUAUCUAUCUUUUGUUAGUUUUUUCGUUUUUCUGGUGAAAUGUUUCGCUUGCUUCAACAAUAAGUUCGUAUUGACAUUGGACUUAUACUAAAAUUUCGUGGAUAUUUUCGCCGUGCUCUAUGUAAACUAUGAUUAAACCGUGAAUAAUGCGUACAUAUUACAAUUUAAUUUUUCGUACACUUUCAACUGUGUAAAUGUGUCGAGUUUUUAUUGGGUGACGGAAGGGUUGUUUAAAUUAACCAUGGGAAACUUAAAAUGACUAACGAGCGAAACCUUAUAAAACGUUUAAACUUUUCACACUUUAAACGCUUAAUAAAAUAUGUUUAACGUUUACUGCACUCGUUAUUAUAUAGAGGUACUCGUGUUUAUUGUACUUUUUCAAUUUUUCUCGAAUGCGGCCAACUGGGAAUAUACGGACCAAUUUAUUGGUGGUGCGACAUGUAUCCCCUGAGCAUGAGUGUACUCGUUUUCGAAUUCAAAUCGUCCCAGUGUGUCUCUCGAGUCGUUUCGAUAAAACUUUUAAAAGCUAACCGUCUCUAAAAAAAAAAAAAAAAGUAUCGUAAACAUUUUUAUAAUAAUGAUCUCUUAUUAUAUACACAAUGUAUAAUAAACGCUAUACAUUUAAUUCGUUGUAAAAUUAGUGAAAAACUGCUGCGCCGGGUGUAUUUAUAAUUUUCUUUGUAUUAAACCAUAAUAUAGUAAUUAUCGCUAUGUAUAAAUAGAUUUCGAAUAUAUUUGAUUUUGGGUUUUUUUUCUUUGAAAGUUGAAAUCCUUUAAAUGAGCUUGUUUACAAUAGUUUUAAAAAUUCACAUUGUUUUUAUCAUUAUUCCACAAAAUACAGAAUAAUAAUAAGUCAUCUAUAUCAUGUCUAUGGGAUUUUCGAGUUGUAGAUAAUCCGAAUUUCCGAAAUACCAAUUCUAUUAGAGAAAAUUGUUUUGAAAAUGUUCGUAUGCAAAACACAUUAAAAUAUCCAAUGUACCAGAUAUUAAUAACAUUAAUAUUAAAAAAGUUUUUUCAUACAAAAUAUUAAAUACAUAAAAUCGACGGUCCCGGGCUAGAAGGAUUUAAGUAAAUUGCGUUUAGUUAUCAAUAUAAGCGAAUUAAAUUUUUGAAAAAUGAUCAAUGGCAAAAUAACAUAACUGCAUGUUAUCAUUGAUAUGACUUGAUAUGUUUUUUUUCGCCAGAGAAAAGUUCAUCAUAUUUAUUUAAUGCUUUUUUAAAAUUUUAAUGGGUGUAACAUGUUUCGGAAUAUUAAUGUCAUUUGGACCAAAAAAAAAAAAAAAAGGCAAAUAUGUUGCAUAAAAUAAAAUUAUAAAAACAAAAUUUUAAAAACCGAAUUGAGCUCUUCUUCCCUGGUAUCACAGUUAUUAUAGCUUAACCAAUUAAUAACACAAUCGUGUUAAAAUCUAGAACAGUACCGUAUCUGGUACACUACGAACUCUUGAUGACUCGACAAAAUUUUUUUCUUUUAUUUUGAUAAUAAAUCGUUGAUAGUUUUUCUGUAUCUGUAAAAUUGUCGAAUCUUUAUAAUUAUAUUUUACUUUUUUCCAUAGGUAUACAGUUGAUAAACAAACGUAGACACUUAUUAUCUCGGAAAGUAUUAACUUUUCGAAAAUUUGUUUUUGGAACAUUUAUGAAAUAAUAAGUAGCUCUAAAAUAUUACAAUUUUGGUAAUUUUUUGUCACCUUUAUUUUGAGAAGUGAAAUCACCAUACACAUUUAAUUUUUAUACGGCAACCUGUAGUAAAAACUCCAUAAACAGAUCAAACAUUUUUGGUGUUUACAUUAUUGAUUUCCGAAUUUUAUGGAAUUUUUGUAUAGACUGCCAUUUAAAAAAAACGAAAACAGACACCCGUUGAACCUUCUAAAAUAAGGGUGACAAAAACCUAAGUAAUGUAAGAAUUAAGAGCCGUACUUACUUCUUAAAUUCCAAAAAAACAAUUAAUAUUUUCCGAGAUAAUGAGUGUUCAACACGGCGGACACUCGUUCGUCCCGUAUAGAUUACAAGUGUGUAUCUACGUGCAUUUUGCAUUAUAAUGUAGUAAACAACAAUACGGGUUAUUUAUUAUUCUAUUGUAUGCGAUUUAAACUUAAGGGACACAUAAAAAAAAAAAAAAUUCUUCCGGCUUGUAAACGGUCUUUGUCAAUGGCUUUUUUUUUUUUUCCAUUUCCUAUUCCUAUUUGUUAGGUUGAACACGGGUAUUUGUAGCUGUGUACUGCACAGCACAGUGUUUACUCGGUGCCGGAAUCCAUAGUGCGAAAUAAAAUUAAUCUGUAUGAAUGAGUUCGAGUAUUAUACAUACUGUAUGUAAAAACAACUCGAGUAUUACUAUUGAAAAAAAAAAAAAUAAACAUUUUAUCCGAAUAUAACCGUCGCUAUACAUAACUGAAUUGAAAUACAUAUUUCUUCAGUUGCGCGUCAUGACUGGCAUAAAUUAUUCUUCGAUAAUUCGAUACAUACGUGCGUCGUAUUAUUCGAUUUUGCGAUAUCGAUAAUGUAAUUUAUUCGUCACGGAUCGCGUUUUUUUUUUCUUCUUUUAUUUCAAGCUUCGAAAAAAAAAAAAGCUGAUACUGCUAAUGGGUCUGCGCUACUGUUGUAGGAGGGAUAGUGAAAGGUCGGAUAUAUAGGGUAAUUUAAUUUUUAUCUGAACGCGACGAAAGUCUAAUGCUAACGAAAAACGAUUAUAAACAGCGAACAGAAUAUUUUUGGUCGUUUGUUUUUCUUUUCGUUAAAGUAACGGUGAAAUCAACAAAACUGGAAUAAAAAAUUGCCAGUUUUUGCCAUUUAUUAAGAAAACUAUAAGGGAAAUCAAAAAAGUAUUUUUCCGCAAUAUAUCAACUAGAACGAAAAUUCUACAAGAAAGUGCCUGUAAAUUCUUUAACUGAAGCCAAAAUGCUAGAAAAGUUGUUAACUGACACAACAAAGUAAAUAGAUAAGUAAAUAAGAAAAUAAGUAAAAAGAAAAGAUUAAGUAAAUAGAUCAUUGCAAAGCCAAUACAAUUUUCGUUUCACUUUAAAUCUAAAGUUAUGUAUGGACGGGGAUAAUACACACAAACGAAAAACGUACAAAAAUAAAUAAAAAAACACUUAACAUCGUCAUUAGGUUUAAAGCCAAUACGUUCCUCACUACACUCAUACUUUAAUAAAAUAAAAAUUGUCAUUUGCAAAAAAAUAUAAUAAUAUUAUUUAAAUUAUUUAUUUGCAUUGCCGUGACAAGUUAUUGUGUACGGUAGCAAGUGCAUGGUGAACUGCACGAAUCGAACUUAUAUUUUCGUAUCAUUCGAAAAUCCCGUACACAAUAUAACAAUGCAUUGCAGUACUGCGUUUCGAGUUCACCAUACCAAUGUUCUAAUAUACGACCGAAGAAAAUUAUUAAAAAUGUAUACAACGAGCAAAUUGAACGUCUCUAAAGCGUGACGACGACAACGAGCAUGCGAUUUUGUAUAUUACAAUAUAGCGAAACGACUCGGCAAAAUUGUGUGCGCUGCAACGAGAUAAUUUAUGGCGACCACGGUGCAUUUUAUUUAUCGAUUCAAAUAUGCACGAUUAAAAAAAAAAAAAAAAAUGAAAACAACAUUUAAAUAAUGAAAUAAAUUCCUCUGUCCGUUUUGUCGAGAAAAUCGUGGUAUCUUGAACACGGUUUCAUUUCAAUUGUACAAAGAUAAUCUGUUAAACAUCUUUUUGGGUUUACCUACCGUUUUAUUGGUUUAUCGGUUUAAAGGUUUGUCGUUUGAAACUUACAGUUUUUUUUUUUUUUUUUUUUAAGUUUCUUGUAAUUUAUUCGUGAUUCGGAAACAUAAUAAUAAAAAAAAAACUCGCUGAUUUUAUACAAAUACGAUUUCAUUGGAAAUCUUGUCUGUAAAAAUAUAUCUGUUCAAUAGUUAUUCGUCGUGAAAAUACCGAAAAAGUAAAUUUCAAAUAAACUCGAUUUCGGUUUAUUUUUUUCAUUAAAUAUUCAGAGAAUUUUGUUCACAAUAAUAUUUUAUAAAUAUGACGUAUUGUAUAAACAUUUUAUUAUUGCAGAUAAGUCGAUAAAUAAUAUUUAUUUAGAUAUAAAGUUAAAAGAUAAUUUCUCUAAUUUCGUCUAUAGGCCAGAUAAAAAUAAUAUAACUUGUUUUUAAAUAAAUAUUUUUGAUAACAUUAUAGUUUCAGGAAGAUAAUAAUUCAAACGGUAGACAUAAUUCUGUAAAUGCAAAGGAUAUGUUACAGCGUCAUAGAAUGUAGUUAGGUUAUAAUAUCCUUAAAUUAUUUAAGUAUUUAUUGAAAAUAUCUAUACGAAGAUAAAGACAAGAUAAUAUGUUGGUUUUAUCUAGGUAUGGCAUACAGUAUAGAAACGUUAUCUGGAUUAUCUUUUAGAUUACUUUUUAUAAUCUACGGAUCAAGGGCGUCUCUGUUUUUUUCUAGGGAGUGGGGGUGGAAGUGACUUUUAUUUAUUUUUUAGAUUUGGACCGUAGCGAACUAAUUGGUUCAAAAAACAACAUUUUUUCCUAGAAAUUAAUUUUACUCCGAUUUGUCAAGGAUUGUACUUUUUCUGAUAUUAAAUUUUAUCUGUGUUGUUUAGCGAGGUCUUUUUUUACGUUUUCCAAAUGGUUAUCAUAAUAAUGGGGAAAAACCGGGACGACGUAGGAAAACACGAGACAAUUUACGUACAUGUAACUAUAAAAGAAACUUCGCUCUGGAACGUUUUUUGUUAGCACUUGGUUAUCGUCGCAUACACAUAUAAAUUGAAUUCACAUCUAUAGUAUUCUUUUUUCUCUUCAUCGUGCGAAGUAUGUCCACCUUCUUUCAUUUUUCGAAAAACUCCAAUAGUAGGUACAGGAAAAAAUGAAUUUAUUAAAUAUUAAUUUGAAAGUGAAAAUAGUGCUUGCUCCUUGCUGCAUAAGUUCAAUGUAAAAAUAUAGUUUCUAAUAUCAUGUACCAAGUAAUAACAAUUCUAUAAACGAAAUUCUUUAAAGUACUUCUAUUCUGCAAACCGAUCUAUUAUGUUUGAUGUAUCUAAUUCUACAUUACGAUACACACGCAACAGUGCCAAACCAGUCAGUUUUUGUCGUCUUAAUCGACUUCAUGACUAAGUUUUUAAUCCGAUAAAGGUCAAAGCAUUGCGUAAAACAUUACUAUGUAAAACAAGUGAACCGGAAAACGUCAUCUAACGUCAGAAUUAACAUACUGUUUACAAAUCGUUUAACUCAAAACAUGAAAUCAGUACCUGGGCAACGUCGAAAAACUUUACCACGAUUUUACGAUAUUCCGUGUACACCUAGUGUAUCGCAAGUAUGCACCAUAUUAAAAUUGAUACAAAUUGAUCAAACGAGUUGCCCAAGGGGAAUGGAGGGGGGUGUGGGGGGGGUGAACGCCCCUCCCCUAAAAACUACGACCUUUCUGCGGAUAACCCUAACGCCGCCGUUUACAUUUUGCAAUAUUGUAAUCGUAAUGAAUGUACGCAUCGCCCACCUAACCCAACGUAACGUGUGUCCAAAUGUGCGUUCGACAUUGCCGCGUCUGUCCGCGAAUCCCCCCCCUCACNCCCCCCCCCGUACGUAUAAUUAUAAUCGAUUUCGGAUUUGAUUUCCGACACGCGCACACGCGCACACGCGCGCACACACACACACACACACACACACACACACAUGCGCGUGCGCGCGCGCGCGUACCCGUCACGGUGCGGGUACAGUCCGACGUUUGUCGCAAACUACGUUAUUACACCCGCGCGUUGAUACGACCCCGCCGAUCGGAAUCUAUUCCGAGAUUUGGCGAAUUCGUCGCGUCUCCGUCUCGGUAAUAUUAUUAUUGUACGUUAUCGCGCCGUGCGUCCACAAAUAUUUUCCGUACGUACGGCUGUGCAGUCGUCGUCGCCGUCGUCGUUUAAUCCUCUCCCGGUCCGUGAAAUAUAAUAUAACAUAACGGCAAUGAUAAUAAUAAUAUUAUAACGGCAGGGGCGGUUCGGUAAUGCAACACAAACAACACUGUUUGCACUCCGCCGAGCAGACGGCCGGCAGUGUACGGCGACGGCGAUUCAGGUAGUCGCGGAGUCGAGCCGCGGAGUAGUGCCGUUAUUGUACACCCGCUGCGGGGCAUUAACGGUUUUUGAAAUCAAAGCGCGUAGUGCGGCGCAGGAGCAACAAGUCCGUCGAACGAACUCUCGUGCCUUCAAAGUGCCGUGCUGCGGAUGUUGUACCGCGUGCCCUAAGAAAAUUCCACUUGACGUCGAGUAAAAUAAUAACGUAAUAUUAUCACUGCGGUGUCGUUUUAUAUACUCGGUUGUCGGGUCUUUGAAGACUACAAUAUUGGCAUUGUGUAGGUGCGUCCGCUUAUUCGCGGCGAAUCGCGUAAUUGAAAAGCUGCUAUUUCCGACCAAAAAAAAAAAAAAAGCGGACGCGCUUAACACACCAACGCACCGCGGGUGUACUUAACACAUGCCUACUGUUGUAUUAGCGAAAAUCGUGUAAGGCGAGAGAGAUGAAUCGUCGUUGCAAACGGAAAACCGAUCCCGACUGAAGUUCGGUUCAACGAAUUUCAGUACAAAUUUUAGUGUAGAACUUAAUAUUAUGUUAGUUUACAUAACUCUGACAUAAAUAAGUGCAUUUUUUCGUGUUUUUUUUUAUCUUAAAUUUGUCACCGUUUUUUAUGGAGCCGAAAUAGUUUUAUCAGCAUUAAUCGGGAAACAGAAUGUCAUUUAUUACGGAUCUUAUCAGAAUCCAAAGUUACUAAAUUAUGUUCAAUUUUUUUGAAGAUCUCAUUGCAUUUACUAGACCCACAUUUUAUAAGUACCAGAAACUAACAUUAUAUUUGUUAAUCAGGCCAUGAUUUUUGGUAGAAAAUGAUUUAUGUUCAAAGAAGUAAACAAAACCAAAACCCAACACAUUCGUUGCUACGAUCAUAAUCUAAUAAACUCGAAACUGUGUUAAUAAAGCGGCUUUUAUGAGACCGAAAUUAUUCAGUUCGAUUGUGGUUUGUCGUUUUCUUUUUUUCUAAAAUGAGAAAACUUAUAAUAUCGUUCGCUCCUCCGUGAUUUUUUCAGCAUGGACAGCCAGAAGAGAUCAAUGAUAAAAAUAUUCGUUUAAUUAAAAAGAUAAAAUAAUAAUUUUAAAUCUAAAGCACCUAAAAUGCACGCACAGGUAUAAAGAAGAUUAUAAUUAUAAUUAUUAAACUUAUAUUAAGCAGUUAAUCAUAAUAAUUUCACAGAGUUUACGAUUCGCGAAUUGUGUUUAUCCACUUUUAUCGGUUAGUCACUUAAUUUCGAAAUACGCCAUGGACAUUGAUUAAAAUACAGAAUAAUAUUAUUAAUAAAUUUUACGAAACCGAAUCCUUUCAACGUCGUACAUACAUAUUUCGAAUACUUCGAUUUUUUAUAACGUCGGUUUGAUUUUUUUUUUUUUUUCGUAGUAUAGGUUGAAAAUAUCAUUAUAAUAAUAUUCCUUCAGGGUUGUGCACGGUUUUUAAUGGAGUAUUUAGGAUUUUUUUUUUUUUACGGGCGAGAGGAAUUAUUUUCCAAUGAAAGAGCCGUACACAGCGGUGUAACUCACACACACCAUAUUAUAUUCAAUACAUUCGCGUUGCGUAAAAACGAUUCACAUACAAAUUAUUUCGGCGUUCAUAACAAUCAUAACGAUAAUAAUACAACCGUCGGUCAUAAUAACCAAUUACUGAACCUCGCGUACACGAUAACACAUAUUGUUUAUACUGAAACGCGAAAUCGAAUUUUUUUUUUUUUUUUUUUUCAAAUUUUGCUUGUCCGGUGAUAGUGUUAUCGAGACAUUUUUCGAUGACGCGACAAUACCUAUAGUUAGAAAACAGUCACGUUUUAUAGUAAUUGUUAAACGCGAUUUCAAUGAACACCGCGUUUAUAGAUACUAUGGUGGUCAUCCGUUAUCCCACUUGAUACGAUUAAGUGUCUACCGAAUCGCAUACACCGGUCUCCGCGAGAAACCCGGCACGUCAUGCUCCGCGAAAAUGUAUAUUUUACCCGUGUAAUAUCAAAUGUAUAAAAUAAACCGUUGGUACGGCUCGUUUAAUAUUUCUUAACUCGACAUUCUGUCGCACGGCCGCGCAAUCGCCAACAACAUUGAAACCAGCUGAUUCGGGAGAUAUAAUCCGCUUAAUAUCUCACGUAAAACCUUAUCGUAGGUCAACGUGUAGUAUCGGAAAAAGAUUUCGUACACGUGCUGAAAACACUAUCACGUACGGCCCGUGUGACGAUAACACAAUUUAAUGAUGAAUAUUAAUAAAUAUUUUUAUUUUUUAUACUGGUCAUGAUUGCUCACGAGUAGCGGUUUACACUGAGAUGAUACAGUUUGCAAAACGUAUUUGUAUUUGGAUAGACAUUUUUUUAUCGUUAAUUUUAAGUGCCAAUAAUCCUGAAAAAUAUGAACUGAAUCAUUUGAUCUACGCUGGAUAUUGUUUAAUGCAGCCGAACCACAACGUGUGUGUGAUACAGGUUAAUAAAAGUCUAUGCAUGAAAAAAAAAUUGGAGAACAUUGUUUUCUAUCGUCCAAUUUAUACCCGAAGUCUUUUUUUUAAAAAAAAAAAUAAUAAUAUAAUAAUAAUAAUAACAAUGAUAAUUAUAACGUCGAUGCGUAUAUUAUGGCGAGGAAAUAUUAGGUAUAUCUACCCCCUCCUUCCCUUAUAAUAUAAAAUAUGCCACUGCAGUGCCGGCCGGAUUGUCAUUGUAAACCAUACGUAAUGAAAUUAUAUUUUAAUAAUAUUACCGUGUUCUGUCGGGACUUCGGGAGAGUAGUAUAACAGCCAAUCAACGUGCGGCUUUUACUUGUCAACGCCACCCCAUACGUAUUAAAUGGAGACAAAUUAAUGACUUUUUGUGUUUACUUUACUUUUUGUUUCGGUGUAUAUAUUAUUCCCGAACUGACUUUGCGCGAUACUGUAAUAUAUGUUCACGUUCGUGUCAAGGAAAAAAAGUAUUAAACAAAUACGCAUUUUUCUCACUUGUCUUGAUAAAUAUUUCGUGACUACAGAUACCUUUGCCUGUCGGUUAAAUUAAAACAUUCAUACAACUAAUAAAUAAACUCGCAGGGGUUAUUAUGUCUUUUCCAGUAUACAGGGUGAACUACGUACAUCAAGACAAUAAUAUGUUAAUAAGUAAUAUUAUCUCUCAGGGGUUGACUUUUUUUUUUUACUUAUUUUGUUUACAAUUUAACACACAAGCAGUUCUAAUACGUAACACGACCUAUAUAUUCAAUCGUUCUUAUUUUUAGUGGAGAGUAAAAUUUUAAGUGCGCUAUUUUGUGAACAGGAUAAUAGUAAAAGAAAACAAUUCAAAUAUUGUGUAUUGUGUCAUCGCACAAAUGAACUUUAACUAGUUUCUUCCUGUCCAUAAAAUGACAAACUAAAAAGUGUAAUGUUCCGUCAAUUGGCCGAUGGAAAAUAAAAAUUUCAUCGCCAGAAUUUAUUCCCAUUAAAACUUCAUCUAUUUCUUUAAUAUACAUAUAUAAAGUUUUUAAGUAUAAAACAGAAAUUAGUGGUGGUUUCAUCAUCAAAAACAAGGAUGACACAAAUUAUCGGUAAUAUAACAGUUUCAAUCUGUUUCUUGAAUAUUGUCUAAAAUGACAAAUUUUAAAAAUAGUUGAUACUCUCCAAGAUAAUGAGUGCGUUACGUUAUUUUUAUCACUCUGUAUGUAGAAAAGUUAAUAUCUCAUAAAAUGUAUGUUUUUAUUACAGUAAAUUAUAGUCCAUUAAAUUAUUAUUUUAAUUACAGGACAGGCAUAAUGAAUUUAAUUCAUUUAUUAACGUAAACAUAUGUAUUAAAUAUUUACUCGUGUAAUUGGUAAAAAAAAAAAAAAACCCGUAGCCAACCGAGCUCUGCUGCUAGAGUCAAAUUUCUCCCCAUUUAUUUUGUAGUAUUUAACUUUUGCAAAAUAAUAAAUUACCGAAUACUACAAUAUUCUAAUACAAUUGUAUACUAUACAACAAUACAAUACAAAACGAUACAGUUAUACUAAAAUUAUACUACUUCCAAAAAGAAAAAGGUGAAAUUUGAUCAUAAAAAUGGUAAAGGAAGGAUUUAAAAGUUGAAACCGCAAAAACACAUCUUCGAUACGUUAAAUAAAUGCCACGUGUAUACCAAAUUUCACAUAUCAGAAAACUCCUCCAUCAAAAAAAUGAUAAAAUUUAUAUUGAAAUAUUUAAUCUGACUUAAAUAUAAUUCCCUAGAUUAUUUGUUUCAGAUGAGAAAGCGUCACUAGACAUUUCCAAAAAGAGUGAGAAAAGAAUAUUCAUAAAACAGAAAUAAUAUAGUCACUAUAUCCGGGGGAAAUUCGACAAAAAAUGAAAUCCACUAUUAUAGUAAUAUUUUUGAAUAUUGUAGUUACUGAUUUUUUAAUUUAUUAUUAUUUUUUUUUAACUCAGACACACAGAAAUUAUGUUUAUUAUAAUCUUUAUAUUUAUUAAUUUACUAACGCAGAUAUUUCAAAAUUAAAUUGCGAUUUAGUUUAAAAAUAGCUAGGUGGAGUAUAUAUUUACAGGUUACUCGUAUAAUAUUAUACAAUUUAAUCAAUUGAAAUAAUUCAAAAUUAAUAUUCAAAUUUUUUUUUUUCUAAAAGCAAUUUUAAUAUUAUGUUAAAUAAUUAUUCGAAGAUUGACAAUCAUUAUCUGUCUUUGUAUAACAAUGACAAUGUAUAUAGAUACAUUGUCAUUGAAAAAGAAUUCCUUAAGUCAAUUUUUGGUAUUUCUUAUAAUUUUGUCUAAUGUAUUUCCCCCUCCCUUCUUUUUCAACCUAAAAUUCAUCGGUAAAUAUGUUUUGAUAAUUAGUGUGUGUACAAGUAAAAUAUAUUUUUUAAAAAUGUAGUUUCUUGUAUUGAAAACUAUAUUUUGUUACGUCAAAAUAUGGCAUUUUAUUUACCACAAAAACAGUUACCUACAGGUAUCUACCACCUACCAAAUUAUUUAUUAUUAACAUAAUUUAAAAUUAAUAUAAAUUUAACCAUACCGUUCGUUUUACCUGGAAUAUAUAUUAUUUAAACCCAAAAAUAACAUGCAAUUUAUAUUCGAUAUAAUAUGCGCAUAAUUAUAAUAUAGGUACAUAUUUAAAAAAUGCGUAGGUACCAACACAUUUUAGAAACAAUAAAUUGUAUUAAAACAUUCGCUGAUAUUGUGUUAUUGAUUAUAUUACCGGUGAUGCGCUGCAGUGUGUUGUGUAAAAUUUGUGUCAACGGGCCGUAUUUGAAUAAUAUAUAUAUAUAGGUGUGUACGAAUAAUGUGUGUACCAAUAUAAAGUAUUCGCCCCUACUUGUUUACUGCGUAAAUGAGGAAACAAUUUAGAAUACUCCUGUCUGAGGAUUCGGGGGCACUGCAGUUGGGAUUUAUCAUACUGAAUGUAAAGCGCAAUUAAAAAAUUAUCAACUUUGUGUAAAUAUUGAAUAAGUACGUCAAGUGCGGAAAACCGUUAAGAUAUCCAUAAAAAAUGUUUAAAAAUUAUGAUUGUCGUAAUUUCAUUAUGAAACUUGACUAAUUAAACUAAACGUUAAACAAUAUGUAUAAUAAAGGCUAAUUCAUAAUUAAAGCAUGAUAGUUAUAAUUUAUAUUUAUAAGUAAACAAUCGCAAGGCUGGACGAGUUAGCGAAUACAAAUAAUAUUAUUGAAACACAAACAAGUGAACUAACUAGGUAAAAAUUACAUGUUUUUUGUUAAUUGGCUUAUAGCCAUAAGAACACCACUGUUGUAGGCGGGAAGUUAGAAUGGUAGGUAACGCAGUUAUUUAAUUUAUAUCUCUAAGCAACGAUAAAUAAUUGAUAACGAAAAAUGAUUGAAUGAAGCAAUGUUCGUUUAUAUUUACACGAUUUAAAUGGCCGUAAUAUUUACGAUUUUCAUCUACAUCCGAUGAACGAAUAAGGGUGACGAAAAAUAAUGGAAAUAUUACAUUUGAAAUUGUCAACAAAAUGUUUUUUAAAAAAAAAAAAUCGAUACUCGGUGAAAUAACGAGUGUUUCGGUUACAUAAACACCCCAUAUAUAUAUAUAUACACGAGAUGGAAUUUGAAUUUGGCCCCUUAAUACAUUACUAUUAUACACGUGUGCUUUAUGUAAUAUUUUACUAAUACAAAGUAUUGUUUUUGUCGGGUUUCAAUAAACCGCGCUGUAUUUAUAUAUACGUGUGUAUUACAUUGUAUAAAGUAAGUUAAUUAAAUCUCAAAAUUGAUUAUGGCAGAACGCGAAAUUUAUUAAUUCGGCUCUCUGUUAUACCCACGCCGGGUUUACAAUGACAACGGGUGCGUUGAUAAUACACGCGCACAAGUAUAUCGAUUUGAUUACUGUGUAUAAAUUGUAAAACGCAUAUAGGAGUUAAAACGUUAGUUUGGCCGAAAACCGUGUAGCCGUUGAAACGCUAAAAAAAACCGAUAUAAAUGAACGAACGUAUCGACAAUUAGAUUCUGAGAGAACAGCGAGGAUUGGUUGAACUGCGUGUGCUGGUUUUAUUUUUAUUAUUAUUUUUCUUUCUAUGUACAACUAAUAUUCUCCUAGAAAUCUCACUUCGACCGCAAACUCCAAGGGCGGUUUCUGUGGGAAAAUGUUGUCUAGUGUGUGUGCACGGGAUAAAUGUAUUUAUUUUCCUUUGUAGUUUUCUUAAUAAUUGAGGGGGGAAAAAAAAACGACGAUAAACCCAGAAAAUGUACGUAAUAACGGUUUCUGUUAUUAUCGAUUUUGUUUGAUCGUUGAGUUCAAACGACAAAUAUCGUAAGAACACGGAAUUUUCACCGCACACUUAUUGUGUUUUUUCUCAAAACAGUGAAAUUUUAAACAGAUGAUUUUGAUUUUCAAGCUAUUUAUAGCCGUUUAAAAAUUGCAAGUUGUUUUUUAGUUUCUUUGUGGUUUUACGGACAAUUUUGGCCCACUUUUUUGUUUUCGCGUAACACGAACAAAACACAAAGUACCACAGGAUAGGUGACAGUAAAAUAUUUAUUUCCGUAGGCUAGUUCAAAAGUUAAUAACACAUUCAAUUUCUAUAUUUGUCGAAAAUAAAUCAUUUAUAGUUGGUAUUCUAUUCAGAAUCGGUUAAGAAUUUGUUUUUUUUUUUUACUCGGUACCGAGUUAUUUAUCUACGUGUUCAGAAUUUAUAAUUCAAUAUAUUUCCUUCGUUUCAUUUCCCGAUUCCCAACUUUUUAUUUUUUAUUUUUUAACGUUAUUGUAAUUAUUAUUGCCACCGUUAACAUUAUACCUCGGGCAAAAUAAUAUAUUUAUACUAACCGUCGACGGUGAAAAACGCAAAAAUUAUUAUGAUUUCGAUGACAUAAAUUCACUGGAAUAUAAUUAAAACUUUUUUUUUUUUUUUUUAAUUUCCCUGUUAGAAAUCUGAGAUUUAUAUAAUAAUCACCACGAUAUAAUAUGAUAUUCGCUUCACAGCAAACACCACAGGCCGCAGUUAUAGCAUAGUAGUUUACUCGCGAUUUAAUUAUCGAUAUAAGCAUUACGGAAACCUGCAGUUCCUUUAAUAGUGUUAUUUACGUCUACAGCCGUUAUACCCGACGCAAUGUUCCUUAAAACUUCCGUUUCUGAAUGAAACGAACGACCGACUAGACUUUAUAGCGAGUGUCGAAUUAAAAAGUCCCUGGCGGUUGGCUUUUUCUCGGCACUCUGGUCGUAUACCUACGUGGCCAUCGUGGUGUUUAACGAUUUAUAACUUUGUAGACCGACAGCUGCAGUUUUAUGAGCGUUCGCCGGGAUUAUUGUGCGCGAGCUGUUCGGUCUCGCACGAAAUUUUUCCGGCCGUAGGUUUCAAAUCCACGCGGUUCUAUAGCCGCUGAUAAUUUUCACGUAAAAAAAAUAUUUCGAACUACGCGUAUUGGUACACUCAUUCGGUAUAGACACGCGGAAAAUAAUCCACUACAACGCGAAGUUAAUCAAUUCCUAUAUUCGGUUAGGUAUUUUCUUGUCACGUGUAUAUUAUAAUUAAAUACGAGCUGAACAUUUUUAAAAAUAACACCGUGACGCUAGUGGACUUUUUUUAUUUAAAUACAUUAUGUCGGCAUUGGAUAUAUUUUUCUUCAAUGUUCAGCUAAUUGUCAAUGUGAUAAAGCAUUACUCAACGAUAAAAUAGUGUUUUUAAUUUAUCCAACAUGGCACUAUGAACGCGAAAAACGCGAAACUGCGCCUUUAUUUCACGUAGUCACGUUUUUACUUGUUGAAUAAAAAUCAAUGUUGGUGUAAUACGAGUAUAUAUUGGAUAUGAAAUGGCAAUAAUACAUUUGCGGAAUUGUAUUUCAUAAUACUGGUAGAUUUGCAGUCAUAAUAUUUUGAAAUGUGCGACGGCCUUGUAUUUUUAAAUCGUUUUCAACGUUACCAGUGCAAUAUUGCAUUUACUCAUAAAAGUAGGAUUUCAUAAAGCACUUUCGAGUAUUUGAAAAAGAUAAAGAAUUUUUAGGCGAGCUCGUAGUAGUUGUUUAGUUUCUAAAUAGUUUACGAAAGAAACUACGUUUUUCAAAGAUUUUUGUCUCUCCCUCCUACCCCUUCGCAAACAAUUAUUUUUUACUUGAUAAAAAUGCUCCGAUUUUGUCGGGAUAUACAUCAAAAUAAUAAGUGGAUUUUUUAGCCGCUGUUACUUUAUUUGAAACAAUUUAUCAUCAUUUUCAACUCCUGAUCACCCCUGGGUUCUUUUGUUUGGUUUUUAAAAUUUCUGUUAGUUUUUGAUUUACCUACCUUGAACGCAAUGCCAAAAAACGAAUAAUACACCGAUUCGCUAAAAAUCGUUUUCGGUGUGCAAUAGUUUAUCAUUAUAAAACAAAUAAAUAAUUGACUAACAAACUAAAUAAUCCAACUUAAUAGUUAUGUAUUAUCCGAACCUACCAAAUAACUACGAAUGCAACAGUGCCCUUCCCAUAACGACCGAAAUAUUUUCGGCUGUUAGAUUUUAAACGCAGCGGAGACUAUUGGUUUUACUAUGACGAGUGUUAAUAAAAAAGUUAAUUUUUGGUAUUAUUUUUUAUUUUUUGGCAAUUAAUUCAGGACACAUUGAACAGUUGUAAAAUGUUAUAUUUAUAUUAUUUUUCGGUCAUUCGUUUGUGUUCGGGGCUGAAACCACAACCGUCCCGCUUUUAAUUUCCAUAUUGAAAUCUCACUCCGUUCUCCACCUCCCCCCCCCAAAAAAAAGACGACUAAAUAACAACAAACUAUUUAAAAGCGCUUGUGUCUUAAAUUGCCCGAAAAAAAAGAAAAAAAAAAACGUUCAAAAAUUGUAAUGUUCCCGAGAUAACGAGUGACUUAUACCGGGGAUUAAUCACACUGUGUACAAACUUAAUUAAAUUCCGGUUUUAGGUGUGUGGGUAUUGUACGAAUAUUAUAAUUGUGCGUCGUCCCUUCUCGCGUUUUUUUCGGCCACCGGAAGCCGAACCAAUUAAUUCGCCGGUUUCGCGUGCGCGCCCUCUGCGUCCACACCCGCCCCCGCGUAUGCGCGCAGGAGCCCACGCGCUAUAUAUUAUUAUAAUAACCGCGUGCGUGCGUGUGCGUAUAUAUACACAUAUACACGUAUACGUACCUACGUCUAGGGCGAAUUGUAAUUUUAAUACCGCGCGUAUAUAUGUGUGCGCUACGGGAUUUCCGCCGGGAUAAGGUUAAUUAUUGGCGCUUUCAACUUGGCGCUGGGUCGCGUGCGCACAAUAUGUGUGCAGGAUUUAUACUUCGUUCCGGCCGGAACGACCGCGGACACGCAACUAUUAACUAAAUAUAAUUCGCCUAUGUAUGUAUGUACGGGUAUGUAGAGGUAGGUGCUUGCCAUACCGCUCUUCCGCGGAAACCCGCGACCGACUCUAAUUACUCACGUAAGCGUAUUCGCGGGAGCUGAAAAAAAAAAAAAAAAAAAAAAAAAAUAAAAAAACAACGACGUUUUCUUAUCUCGGCGGCUAUUUAACUUUCCCCCCCCCCACUCCCCGCUUAACCGCCGGAACCGGCGACGUCGAAUAAAACGCGUAAUACACUAUUACGGUUUUGAUCGAUCGCGUCAACGGGCCAGUUGCGGCGGAUCUAAACGACCGGCCAUCAAUCGGGGGCACAAUUCCGACGUCCGAUGUUCGGCUUCGUUUCGUUUUUAUAUUUUUGUUUCUGACCGAUAAUUUAUUGAAAAUUACCCGAAACCACGAGACCGUCGUCGUCGUCGGUUUCGAACGCGUGCGAUCGCGUUCGUACGCAAUAUAUUUAAUACGAACGAGAGAUUUAUGUAUUUCUGCAGGUUUUCGUUCUAUUUUUUUUUUUUUUUUUUCCCCAGGUACUGUAUUUUGCACGUCGUUGAAUCAUUAUUAUUGUUCAUUUCACUGCAAUGCUCGCACGCGCGUACAUCGCACGGUUUAGAAAAAAAAAAAAAAAAAAAAAAAAAAAAAAACAAAAAAAGUACUAACGAGUGUGGUGCAACUCGUAACUCGUAAAGCCAAAUUUUUAUUUUUAAACCACUGUUAUUAUUUAAAAUAAAUAAAAUAUAUUAGACUGUAUUACCAAAAAUUAUUUCUGAAUUCGCGUCUCGUGCAAGCUACGGUGGCGGGGGUGGGGGGUUGUGGUACGGCUUAUGUUAGCAAUGGUUCCCCAAACAUUUUGGCCUAAAUUGCGUCAUUAGAGACAGAGUGAUCUCUGGAGAAUUACGAGAAAAAUUCGCAUUAGAAAAACUAUAAAGUAUAAUAUACGUAACGGCGACGAUGAGUCGGAUAAUAUCUCAAAUCGGGUAUUUCUAAUGAAUUGUAUUUUGCUUAUUGUUAUUAUUUUUUGUAAUAUUUUAAGUACCUAUUCAGUUGUGAGUUUUUAUAAUAUGUCAAAGGGUUCAUCCCGUUAGUUCAUUAUAAAUAAACAAAGACGUGACUAUGAGACGAUGAUCUCAGAUAUCAGUAUUCAGAAGCAUUGUGGAUAAUGUACUGUUUUAUCAGACAAUAUUUUUUUUUUUUUAUUUGUAAAUGAAAACACCUGUCAGGGUUUUCAUUGAUGGCCGUCCCAUUGCUGACGUUUAUUUUAUAUAAAAGCGAUUUUCAGCAAUUUUUUUACAUAGAUAUAACGAUUUUAAACUAUUUUUUUCGCCCUAAAGCAUAAACUCGUACAAUAUUUUCUUUUUCUGCCUUUCUAAAAUCAACGUAAAUCAUAUACGGGUUUUGAUUUUCGAAUUGUAAAACGGAUUUUUUAAUUAAGAUCCGAAAAUAGAAUAUUUGGCUUUAAAAUGUUGAUAAAAUACGUAUUAUAUAACAUUUUAAAGUUUAGGCCGGAAGUUUAGUAAAGGGUUAUAAUAAAAUUGUAUAAUAUCAAAGUUAGGUAUGUAAGAAAGUUUCGUGACGGGAAAGUAUAAGUAUAAUGUAGUGAGUAUAAAUUAAUCCCCGCAUCGUCGUCACUAAAAGUGAUGAAUUUUUAAAAACUUGCAGAAUACACGCGAUUGCAUGCGUACAAUCUGUGAAAUUAUUAUCUGUAUAUAAUGGAUAUUCCAUUCCUUUUUCUUAGAUUCUAUGCCUAUGCGUUUUAAUAAAACUCGUAUAGUGAUUAUAUUUAUACAACUAUACGGUCUAUACACAAACUACUGUAUUUUUCAAAUUCAGCGAACUAUAUGGCAAAAUCGUGUUUACAGCUGAAAAAAUCUUAAAAAUUUGAAUUGGUUUUACAAUAUACGUACAUGAAGUUGGACCCCCCCCACUUUGGCCGAUUGCUUUCGGACAUAUUGUAAACAAUUGAAAAAUCCAUUGAAAAUUAUUGUAUUAUGUUAUAAAUUUUAAAAUUCGCCGGAAAGUUUUAAAAAUUGUACCACAUCUAAAACGCGCUAAUACAAGUAUAAUACGAGUAUUUGGUCAUAAUUUCAAUGUAAAACCGAAAUCGAAAAGAAUAUAAACCGUUCUUGCGUACAUAUUUUACCCGGUUAUUAAUUAUUAAAUUAUGAGGAAAGCCAAACAAUCGUCUUCUUGACGCGCCGAUUAGACAGACUUUGCUCCGAGGACCGAUUCAAUAGAGUUGACGACUGGUGCAAGAACUCUGGUGGAAAAAUGCGCGCACAGACAGAAUAAAAAAGCCCCAUAGUAUAUACAAAAGCACAAUGAAAAAUCGCAGAGUAGUUCGGGAUAAUAUUAUAUCGAUCGGCGUUUUUUCCUGUUAUUAACGUGUAACCUUUUUUUUUUAAUGACACAAAUUCAGGUUACGAAACAAUUGAGUCCAAAACACUUUUUUUUACGGAAUUCUCGACGUACCAAAGGACAUAGAAAUGCAAAAGAAAACCUACUGGGUAGAGCGUAAAAAUCAUUGCGACGUCGCCAUUUUAAAUUUUGAACUACGUAUUAUACAAUAAAUAUCAAUUAAAAUAAUUGUAAUAACACAAAAUACGGUGCGCGUCGAAAAAAAUCAUCGCGGUUCUAUUGUCAAGUGUCAAUGCACUUGUUUUUAUAAUAAGAACAUUAACAGUAAACGGAUAGUAAAACGAUCGCACUUGCCGGUUACCGCCUACCGCGAAGUUGAAAUAUAAUAAAACAAAAUAAACGUGUACGCACGGACAUCCGUUUGCCGUUCGGCUUGUACGCACAAUAGUAGAGAUAAUCACAGUUCGCACAACAUAUCCUGCGCUCGAUCGUGUUUUUACGGCAACGCUGUUCGAACACAAUCGACUUUCGUUGAUAACCGUCGUGUCGUAUUACAAUAUCGAUUGUAACGCGUUCAACGGACAAACUGCGAGAUUGAAAUUUACCGCGCGUGCAUAAAAAUUAUAUAAUAUUUAAUAUCGCAGUACGUAGCUGUAGUGCACGUGAUCUGAUUCGCGUACACCGCGACAGCAAGACCGUCUCGGAUGUUGAAUUUUUUUCAAAUCUGUUUAAGGAGAAAGAAGAAUGAAAAAAAAAAAAAACCCCCGAAUAAAACGAAAUGCGUUAAGCAGUUUAGAGUUAAUGAAUCGCGGAAUAUUAAAAUACUAGUCCGGAUAGAUUGAAGUGGAUUAUCUCCGUAAGCGUAAUUUCAAAUUCAUUUGGCAGAUACCUAAUGUACUAACUACCUAAACCCGGUUUUCUGGCCUCGCAGAUGAAACACAAGUUUCGCAAUUUAAAACCGGGGAAAAAAAAACAAACGCCUAAAUGAACUUUCUUAAUCAACGUAGGCAUAUUAAAUUAAAUAUAUCCGUUUUAUCUUACCGAGUGUAGUUCUUGGCGAACAGACUCUUUGAAAUAACGUCCAUUCCAAUGUUUGAUGGUGGUACCCGUUUUCGGAUCACGCCACAGCGAUCGAGACCCUCGUUAUUAUUUCGGAAUACCCACUCGCGAUGAAUGAAAAUUGACGAGGAUCGUCCGUUACUGCGUUAUUAUUUUGAAAAAACAUUAUUAAAUCGUACACAUUUAAAACCAUAUUGAAUUAUUGUUAUCGUUAUUAAUUUAAAUAUGAGUGUAGGCUGAUUGGUAAUGCUAAUGGGCGUGCCGCUUUUUUAGGAGAGAAGUUGAUAUCCUUCUGUAUAUUGUUUAGAGUAAUUAAAUUUAUAUUGGUAUGCAACGUUAAACCAUUGCUUAGGAAAAACGAUUCUGAGAAGAGUAUAAUUAAUCGUAUUCUUACCCUCGUUGACAUAACUGUGUUGGUUACACAGAAAUUAACAAAAUGCAUGUAAACAAUUGCUAUUUUUUUCCCCAUUUUCAGGAAAACUACGAGGCAAACUAAAAAAUACCCUUCUCGAUGCACCGAAAAAAUCAUCAAUUCUGUAAGAAAGUUCCUCUACGGUAUGCAGAACAUUUUUUUACAGAUAGAAAAAAAAUCGCACACAUCGUAGUUCGUAACAAAUUAUAUAGAUUUGAAAAAUGUCCAGUUAACUAUUUGCAAAUAUCACAAUAUUAUUUCAUUUAUUUUAGUUUCUACACAUCGUUAACAUAAUACACAAAGCUAUACUGAAGUAUUUCGAAAUUGUACAUAGGAUUUUAGCUUUUAGUUUAAACAAGUUUAAAAAACUUUGCAUCCUCGCUGAGUAGAUUUUUUUUUUCGACCUAUAGAAUUUGUAACUUAACUAUAUUAUCCAUAACUAACGAGUAAAAUUUUGAUGUAACCACGUAUCGAAUUAUAGAUAAUAAUCGCCAAGAACAAAAUUUAUUUUUACUGUAAUAGAAAUUGUAGGAAAAUAUAACAAGAGUAAAUUACAGCCAACUAUAUAAACGGCUAAUGGAAAAUACAGCAUUAAAAAAAAAAUUCAUAUCAUAUUUAAAUGCAAUUUAUUCGUCCGGUCAUAGAUGUAUUAGGCCGUAUUUUCCUGUGUUCGUUCGUAUACUUGGCCAUAUUUUACGUUGGUAAUUUUAAUAUAUGGACAUUUUAAAAAUACACCAUUUCAUACAUUGUAUUUUAUUCAUACCAUAAUUUUUGUAGAAAAAUGUGGUUCAAAUAAAAUAAAAUACUAAUUAUUAGGUGAGGUUAGGUUUGGUUAGACUAUAAGUUUACAUGUACCUGCAAGUUGUAUGAUUUAUUUUGAUUUUUGUUAUAAUUCAUUUGUAUAGUAAUUGAUUUUUAUUAACUGAACUUAGUAACUUAGUUCAAUUACUAAACUUAUACUAAAAUUAAGUAGACAAUUCACCCGAUUCUAGUUAUUCUUGGUUAUUUUUUAUAAACUGUAAUUUUAUACGUAGUUUCGUGGAAUCAGUUACAUGAUUAAUUAUUUUAAUUCUUUGUUGCCGAAUAUCGAUAUGCGAAUUCUGCAGUAACGUUUUCAACAAUAAAUAAAGUUUGAUAUAUUCAAAUAAUAAAUGUAUUUGUAUUUUGAAUCACGUAAAAAAAUCUGAAAUCACGGUCUUGAAAAACGAUCAGUCUUCGAAAGCGUAAAAAAAAGCAAUUUCAGAGACCAAAAACUAUAACGAACGCGCACAAUCCGCGAACAAAUGUUUCCUUAUAAUAUAGUAUCACGCGCCACUGAACGCAUUUCACUCUGAGCCCCUUUUUUUUCAAACGGAAUUCAAACAAUUGAUUUCUAUCUUGUCUUGGAGCAAAUCAGUUAAAGUUAUAAUUCGAUUAAGAACAUAAGCUAUACAGUGCACAUUCGUAUUAAAAAAAAAAAUAGGUUUGGACGGUCAAUUAAUUAUUUUACCUUCUAAUGUAAUCAUUUGUAAUCGAAAUAAAGCAACUAAAUUUGUACUAAUAAUACAUUGUAUACACAUAUAUUAUACAUUAUACAUAUACAACGACAACAUCUGUGCUUUGUCUGCGCUUUUUUCUUCUAUAGUUAAUAAUAUUAUAAAAUAAUUUAAAACUAUUUUUUUUUUCGAAAUUUUAUGCAUACGUACACACAAAAUCGGGUGUACCUAAUAAAUUUAUCGGAAAAAAUGAAAACACUGUAAUGAUAAAAUAAUAUUAAUUUUAAUAUAACGUAAAAUUAUUGAUUAUUAAUUUCUACCGUAAUCUGUGCAAAAUAUUUUAUAGAUUUUAUUCAGACUUUAUACGAUAAUAUAUGUACAUAAGAAUACGGGACUAUUAUUAAUAAUAUUUGAUAGCGAAUUAAUUUUUUCCCGCAAUUUCGUUAAAAUUGACACUGUUAUUUAAACAAUAUAAAUUGCCAUUAUCUGCUGCACGGCCACAAUAUUAUACAGAGUGAUUGUUUUAUAAGUAAUUUCCUCGGAGGAUUUUAAGGGGAUUUUUAUUAAGAUUCAACCGUUACGGAAUCGUUUAUUUUAACAUUACUUUUAAGUGUAUUUAUCUGUUCUUUAUUUCCAAACACCUUUGCCAAGUACACCUACCAUUUGAGUUUUCAAAUGACAAUCCUCUUAUUUCAAAACACAGAUUGGAACAAAGGAUAUUUGUUUAAAAAAUGUCGAUAUGUAUGUUACUAUCCAUUAAUAUCGAACAUUAUACCAUUUAUGAAGUAAAACGUUUUGCAAUUUUUUCCGAGAUGAGUAGAACAAUAUUUUUUAUAUAUAUAUAUAUGUUAAAGUAUUUAAACAGAAAAACCAAAUUAUAUUAUCACAUAACGAGUAAUAUUUAAAAACGGCGUUAAAAUAAAAGAACCUAAAUAAAUGAAAGAGACGAAAACCAAAUUCACGUAUAAUUAUUAUUUUAUUAAUUGAAAACUUGAAAUACUCCGAGAAAAUCGCAGGACACGAUGUAAAAACUCAUCUUAAAUUUUCACAACGGGUGUGAAUUGCCGAAAUUCGAUAAUCCGGAUUUUGAGAAAACAAAAUCCAGAAAUGCGCAUAUUUUAAAUAGUAAUAAUUACACAUUUUCUUAAAUAUAUAAAAUUAAAAAUAUGAUGCAUAAUAGAUUUUUAAAAAUAUCGAAAACUCGGCAUUGAAAUGUUCGUAUUUUGAAGUCCGAAAUUCGAAUUUCGUUGUCUAAAUUGCGGAUCUUUCGGAUUAUCCUGAUAGCUACAAUACGUUAAUCACUAUUUGUUAUAACGGUAAAUUGACGUUGGUUAUAACACCAACAACAACAAUUAAUAUUGGCGAACGAAAAACUUAAAAAAAAUAAUGUUUUUUUCGUAAUAUGAAUUCGAUCGAUACGACUAUUUGACGAGAUGAUGCUAAAGCCGACGAAUCAUUCGCUUUAUUAUACCGCGAAAAGGACGAAGAUAAUAAAAUUAUAUAUGAUUUGUGUGUUAUAUCACAUUAUUUGGCCCGCGGCGUUUGAGGCGCGUAUACGAACACACUCUCGAUUGAACUGUUAUAAGAUCCGGGAAAUCAUUUUAUAUUUUCGCCCCGUUUCUCUACCACACACACACACAUACACACACACACACACAUACACACUCUCUCUCUCUCUCUCUUUCUUUCGUAAUCUCGCGUGCUAAUAUAGAAAGAUUUUGCGAUUCGUAGCACCGAGUAAACGAGAAACUUCCCGUGAUCCGUUUCUCGUGUGUGUGAAGUACAACAUGAAAAUAGAUGAACAGUUUGAAAAGUAAGGUAUACAGAUAGUAAUUUAAUUUAUAUCUGUGUGUACAAAACGAAAAACGUUUCUCAGCGAAGUUGUGCUAAAUAUAUAUUUUGAAAUGCCAUGGUUAAUACGAUUUUCGUCAAAAUUUAAAACAAUGUUAUUCGCGUGAAACCAAACACGUUAGGAAAGUCCAAUCUCCGAACGUAUAAAGUUCCCGAUUUUUAACUGUUUUAUUAAACAAUAAACUAUAUCGUUCAAUACCCGAUUUAAAAAAAAAAAAAAAAAAAAUAACUAAAAAAAAUUCACAAACCUAAUAUGCUUCAUUGUAGAGAAAUUCCAACAUUAAAUAGAAACAAUAAAUGUUAUACAUUAAGUUAAUAAGACAAUAACGGUAGUCUACUAAAUACCGAACGUUCGUUUGAAAAUGAAAAUAAUAUUAACAGUAUCUUUCCUUUAUCAACCAAAUCAACAGCCGUAAAUAUGUACUAGUAACUAUGUGGAUAGAUGGACGGACAGACGUAACGGAGAUAUUGGAUAAAGUUAUGUUAAAUCUAUGCUUGGACAUUUAAUAAAAAAAAAAAAAAUAACUAAAAAAAAUUCACAAAUGUAAAUGUUUAUAAAUAACUCGAAUAUCGCCAAAGUCCGUUAAAAAUUCUGCUUCUAGAAAGUGUUCUUCCAAUAGAUUUGUUUAUUUCAUUACGUUUUUACUCUAUUACAAUAAAACAGAUAAUAACAAAAAUUGAUAUUAUUUUUGCGUAAAUAUGCGUGGUUUUCAACGGUUUUACAUUAUUGUUAAGGAAACUAAAGACAAACUAAAAUAUGGCCACGCUAGUCCCCGUGUACCAAAAUCAAACAAAAUUCGCUACCGGAAACCGCUCAUAAAGAACGGAGCGAGAUUUCUGGUAGAAAUCUUGUUGAACAAAUUAACAUGCAAACAUUGUAACAAAAAAACCAAUACACUAUUCGCUACGGUCAGAAUCUAAAACGGCCAAUAACCAUUGUAUAACAUUAUCUUGAAGGCACGUCAAAAUUCUACCUACCACGGGUCGUGUAAAAGGACACUGAACGGCCGUCACGGAUAAAUUAUAAUAUUAUUUUAGGUAAAUGUGUUUUUUAUCUAACGCAAGCAAAUUUCGAUUACCCAUAUCAUAUUAUAUAAUUAUUUAUUUGUUUUUAUUAAAACAAUGUUUUUUUUUUUUUUUUUUCCAUGGGUAGCGAACGAAAUAACUUUGUUUUUGUUUUUUGAGCGACCAUCAUUGCGCGGUGAUUGACACUAUAUAGAGUACGGUCGUGGGCCGCAGAUGGCAUCGAAAUGCCAAAGGUAGGUCGAUGUAAUGAUUAAUCGUAAACCGUCGGUUUCAGGCAAUUAUUCAUAUAAAAAAAUAAAAAAAAAAAAAUAAAAAGUUCGGUAAAAGUUUUUACGACGCUGUUCGCAGCCCAUCUCGUUUACGAUCAAUGGAGAGGGUCGAAAUAUUAUUAUAUAUUAUGUACAGUAUUAUAAUGCGAUCCAAAACCGUCAGAGACAAACCUCGAUCGUUAAUAUCCAUCGUGGGCGGCUGCGGUGACGGUUGUUCUAUGAAGAUUUAAAAUUCUUGAUAAAAAAAAAAAAAAAAAAAUCAUUGUUUUUGUCGUGAAGUUAAUGGGAUUAAUGGUGAAGCGGUGUGAAGGUUGAAUGUGUAUUUGCUUGCCGUCUGCAGAAAGACUUUUGCGGUGCGCUGAAAUGUUUAUAACACAAGCGUAAUAGUGAAGCAAUUCGGCAAUUAUAAUUGCAAUAUGUAUUUUAUAAAAUACAUCAGUUACCGGUUUUUAUUGCGCAGAUCUGAAUCAAAUCGUUUCCUUUCCCAUGAUUUUUAUAAUUAUAUUCGAGUUCUGAACAUGCUUCGUAAUUAAGCGCAGUACGAUUUCGCUGGCGCGCGUGUUUGUUUAGUUAUGCUAGUGUCGAUAUCAAUUUGUGAUUGAUAGUUGAACAUGAUAAUUUAAUACGGUGGGAAAAUUACGUCGAAAAUCUGCGGUCGCGGUUUCGUACUCGCAGUCGUAAGUACUUAAUCGUACUUCAUGAUAUCGGAUACGAACGAGUGUAAAAUAUUAGCUAUUAGUCGACAAUUUAGGGUUGCAUCGCGAACAAUAUUUGUUUAACAAAAAUAGUUGGAAAAAAAAAUUGUUGACGAACGAAAGUUUUACAAAACGAAACGGAAUGGUUUAUAAAAAGCGAGGUUUAUUAAAAUUGUGGCCUAUAUUACAUCACGGCCGGACUUGAUUAUUCUGAGCUUAAGACAGUAUCAUCCCUUGAAUCUCGACCCGUCGUUCUCGUUUAUGAUAAUACGCCGACCUGCAUUGUCGAGCCAGGCUGUUUUCCAUAAUAAAACGAUCGAGUCAUCGUCUCAAUUAUUAUUAUAACGGCUUGCAGGACGCCGCGCGUUUCUUCGCGAACAAAGGCCGAAAAAAAACAAUACGGAAUAAAAUGCUUACGUUAUUCGAAUCGAUUCAACUCGUCAAACAAUCCGUUAAAAACACCGACGCGUUUUAUUCAAGAGAUCCGAACGACACGUAUACUAAAUAUAACGAGUGACAAAAUACAAAAUGUGGACUUUAUUGGAUUUAUAAAUUGAAUACUUAUACUGAAUUUCGGUCGAAUUCUCCUGUUAAGUAGAACUAAAAUGUUUGUGUUAUUAUUAGUGUGCAUUUUAUAUAAUAUCAUUAUUUAUUUCGUGUAUUCACAGAUUGCAGAGUAUUGCUUAUCAUUCCGAUCGAGGAUUUAAAAAAAAAAAAUAAAAUAAAAUAAUCACACCUGAAAGUCUAAACGAUUAUAAGAACGAAUUAUUACACUACGUUCGACCUCAUUUUACUUCUAUGUAAAACUUGUGAUAAACAUUGUGUUCAAUUUUUGAACAUUUUUGCGUAAUUAAAACAAUUUUAUCCACACAACACAAAAUAAAAACUAUAGUAACUCAACAAUUUUAUAUAACUAUACAAGUAGCAGCAAAUCGCAGUAUUUUUUUAAAUUGUGCCACGUGUAGAAUAUGCUCAGGUGUUCGAUGGAAAUUCUCAGCUUUAUACGAUUUUUUUUAAAUUAAAUUACAGCAAUAACUAGAAAUCGAAAAUAACAGUAACGUAAAAAGUUAUUAAGAAAACUAUAAAAGGAAAAUUCAAAAGAGUGCUCACAAACACACCGACUAGACAAAAAUUAUUACCAAGAACCAUCAAUUAACUUGAAGAAGUUGUUUAGAGACACCAAAACAAAUUCAAGAAAAAACUCAACUAACAUUUAAACCUAUACAUUCUUUUUUAUGCUCCAAAUCUAAAAAAAAAAAAAACAAAUUAAAAUGAGCAAGAGUUGUAGUCCACCAAUGUACAGUCUGUACUGUACGUCCCGGUUCGGAAAACAUUGUUAUGUCGACCAUAUAUAUAUAUAUAUAAUAUAUAUCUCCGGAACCAAAACGAAAAUAAAUCCCUCUCCUUCUUAACCGCCCCUCUCAUCUACCCUCCCCGUCGAUCGUCUAAUACUACGUGAUGUACGGCGAACACAUACGUGCGAUGAUAAACGAUCGUCCGAUGAUUAAUGGACGUAGGCACGUCGUCACGCCGCUGGCCGAUUUCCUGUUUUUUGGAUACAAUAAUAAUAAUAAUCGAAAUAAAAAUGAUAAUAUAAACAUUGACUUUUUCGACUGUUCCGUAGCAAGAUCACCCCGGGAAAACACGCAAUAACUGCCAAAAACAUUACCCUCCGAGUUACUUUCGGCGAUUUUCCAAGACUAGAUGGAUCCUCGUAGAUACCUAUCCCGUGUCCGAUUCGUCAUAUCCGAUAUACUGGCACGCAACCGUGACAAUAACUACACAGCGACAAGCUUUAGAGCCGUCUAAUAAAAUACACCUAUAGGGUACGUUUUCAUCGAAAACGAUAGGUAUAGACCUAAUACGAUCCCGUGCAUAAUAAUGUCUCUCUCUCUCUCCCUCUACGCGCGAGAUGAUUAAUGAACGUACACGUCAUAAGCCGAGGUUCGAUUUUUUUUUCCUGGAGAGCGCAAUACCGAUAAUACUGAUAAAGUUGACUUUUUCCAUCGGCCUAUGCUAAUUUCAACGGGUGGGGAGAAGGUUGCCGAAAAUCUUCCUCCGUCGGUUUUGUCACGCGCCGGCGGCGGUUGAUCGAGAUAUUAAGCCGAAAUUCAAACACUUCACAUUAAAUAUAAUCGUAACGUUUCCAAGCAUUGGAAUAUUUAUAGUUUACUGUUUUCAGGGGUAAAUAAAUCGAUAUCAAUUGAAAGAGAUUGUGCCAGUCGGGGGCAGUCACGUAAGAAAAGAUUCAAAAUUUUAUUCUCACCGUGAAACUGUACAUUAUUUUUUACACGAUUUUAAUUUUAACCGUGCUUAUUAAUCUAUCACCUCCAUAUGACUUAUUCAUAUUCAUAAUCAUUUUCAUAGAUCACAAUAAAAAUAUAAAAUUAUUUUGUCCAUGAUGGCCCAUAACUAGUGUUAUACCCUAUCACUCGAUAUUUUUCACAAACACCAAAAACAGAGGGCAAGGAAAGUACAAUACGAUAUUUACUAAUACGUCUGUGGUAGUGGUGCCGAUAAUUUUAGCUGAAAUAACUCGCGAAAUUACCCCUCUUCCUCCAAAAAGAAAAACACCGAAACCGAAAAUCUCCCCGAAUAAUUGAAAUAAAAUUGUAUAGGUUUUGUCAUAGAGCAAGGAUACCAGUUACCAUUAUCAUCAGUCACAACGCGUCCGGAAAAAAAAAAGAUUUUUAAUUCAAAGACCGUUUAUAGUUUAAUAAGUGUAUUAUACGAACUGUAUUCUUGCAGCCGCACGAAGAUAGAAACGUAAAAAUAAUCUCGCUUCAACGCUGCUUGCUUUUAAACCGUAGACGGAUAAUAAAUUUAAUUCGUAAAAUAAAUUCGAACGUCGACAAAACACCGUUUGUAUAUAUUGUAUUGGUAUCAUUGACGCCGACAGCGUCGUCGGCACGGUUUUAAUUCGAAAUGUACGGGGGGAAUAUCAUUACUAUUUACCGUCUGCGCGGUAGGCUUGCGCCGAUAGUGUAGUGUCGAACGAUCGAAAGUUAUUCGCGUUGUUUGAGACGUGUUUUAAUUUCGAAUUGAAUAUGUAUACCCUGUGUUGGCUGAACACGAUAUUAUUCCUGCACGAACGAUAUAAUUAUUGUGAAACUUCAAAAACAACUACUGCUCAAGACAAUGUGGUAUUUGUGAGAAAGGAAGUCGAGUCGCACGACACCGUAUACUUAAAUUAUAAUAAGAGAACGCGUCGCUCUCCCUCCCAGUUAUCCCUCAGCGGUACUCGCGAUCGUAAUAUACCUGAAUAAUUUAAGUCGCGACAUUUAACCACCGUCGUCGUAAAAUAAAACGACAAUCGGUGCUCUGAAAAAAAAAAAAAAAAAAAUUAUAAAAUUUUGAUUUUAAAGAUUCGUCAAAAGCGUUAGGUAACUAUCAAAUUAGUUUCAUUUACGAGCGAAAGACAAAAUAAACACCGAUCUGAGUUUGUUCCCUUUUUAUUCACGCGACGUACCGAGACGAUUUAUGAGAGCCUUAUGAGGGUUUUUAUCUCGAUAGAGGUCCUCGACUGCUUACGCCGAUAAGGAUUUUAUGAGUAUAGUCCGUUACUUUGUCUGAGAGUAAGACAGUUUUCCCCUCCGUGGUAACAGUCAAGCGACUUUCCACGGAAGAAAUAAAGCGGUUUCUCCCCUAGUUGUGACCGAUCCGACAAAAAAUCGAGUGUUAUGUUCGAUUAAGUUCCGACACGAGUGACUCCCGGACGAAUCAAUAUUGUAAUGUUUUUAAAAAGUAGGUAAACGCUGCUCGUUCGUUCUAUCUGUGUACUGCACUUAUUUGUGUAUUACGGUAUGACUUCUCGAACUACAGUAGUCGUCGGAAAAAAAAAUGUGAAAAGAAACAAUGGACAAUUGUUCGGCACGCAAAAGCGAAAAAAACGAACGUUUAAAAAAAAAAAAGUACAAAAAAAAAAGGGGGAAUUGUCCGAUUCUGACGCAGUCACGAACAGUUCAUAUUAUUUGUAUACUUGAUAAUAACAAUACUUAUAAACCUUUCCGUAUAAUUAUCGUGAAUAUAUUUUCACUAAAACACUAUGGUUUAAUUAUUUUCGAUAAAAGCGGUCCUCUAUUUCUAAUUUUACGAUUUAUGUUUCUAAACAUACAUUCAGAACAUCUUGCAUCACCGUCGUGUCCGUCCGUCCGGACGUUUUUACGAGAACACAGUUACAGCCGUUGAUAUGGUUCACAUGGACAUGUUAUUAAUUUAUUAUCGAUUUGAAUACGAGGAGCAACGUCCGAAAAAAAAACAGACAUCCGUUCUUCCGCGCGCUACCCACGGUAUUAAGAUCAACGGUAUAUGGGUACGUAAUAUUGUUAAUAUGACAAAAUUGUUCGAUUACUCUGUUCUUCUGUCCUCAACGAGAAAUAAUAUAUUUUCCAUUCCGGAUGAAAUCAACUUAAAAAAGGUCUGCUAAAGCCUUUACCCGUCUUCCGACGGCGGGACGCCUUGGUCAUCUGACCACAAUAUGUACGUAGUAUUAUAAUAAGAAAAAACAUCUCUACAACAUUUCCUUGGAUCGCUCGGUAUUCUAUCGUAAAUUUUUACAACUCGAAAGGUGGUGACCAUAUAGGGCCAUUUUUUUUUAGCCAUUGGACCACAAGCAUGGAUUGGGCCGAUUGAAGGUAAUCCCGUUCCGGUCGUAAUUUAUGCGUGGUUGGCGCGCCUGCAGAGCCCUUCUUGUUUACCCAUAUUGGGUUAAAUGUUAAACCAAAACUUUUCCCUACUACAGCCCUGGCAAGGGUGAAAUCACGUGCCUACCUAAUUACACUUUUAUAAAAUGUUCUUCCACGUUUUUUAUUUCAUUAUUUUUUUUUUCAGGUCUCCCGGAUUCACCUGACGAAUUUAUCGAGUUUAUACUUCAUUAGGUAAGUGCUUUAAAAACAUUUUUUUUUAACCCUAAUU